rnacentral:lncRNA from 1 species
GCAGGGCACAGGGGCACUCACGGGGCCUGGGUACGUGUGGUGUACUCCUUGAACUCGCUGUCGUGGAUGGUGAAGUAGGGCCGGAAGUCGCAGCAGUAACGCAGAGGGGCCAGGCAGCUGCAGGGACAGACAGGGUCACCCUGGGGAUGGCAGGGUCACCAUGGGGAUGGCAGGGUCACCAUGGGGACAGCAGGGUCACCCUGGGCACAGCAGGGUCACCAUGGGGACAGCAGGGUCACCCUGGGCAUGGCAGGGUCACCCUGGGGAUGGCAGGGUCACCCUGGGGAUGGCAGGGUCACCAUGGGGACAGCAGGGUCACCCUGGGGAUGGCAGGGUCACCCUGGGCAUGGCAGGGUCACCCUGGGCACAGCAGGGUCACCAUGGGCAUGGCAGGGUCACCAUGGGGACAGCAGGGUCACCAUGGGGACAGCAGGGUCACCAUGGGGAUGGCAGGGUCACCAUGGGCACAGCAGGGUCACCAUGGGCACAGCAGGGUCACCCUGGGCAUGGCAGGGUCACCAUGGGCACAGCAGGGUCACCAUGGGCACGGCAGGGUCACCAUGGCUAUGGCAGGGUCACCAUGGGGACAGCAGGGUCACCAUGGGCAUGGCAGGGUCACCAUGGGGACAGCAGGGUCACCCUGGGCACAGCAGGGUCACCCUGGGCAUGGCAGGGUCACCAUGGCUAUGGCAGGGUCACCAUGGGCACAGCAGGGUCACCAUGGGCAUGGCACAGGCUCCAUGGGCAUGGCAGGGUCACCCUGGGCACAGCAGGGUCACCAUGGGCACAGCAGGGUCACCAUGGGCACAGCAGGGUCACCAUGGGGAUGGCAGGGUCACCAUGGGGAUGGCAGGGUCACCCUGGGCACGGCAGGGUCACCAUGGGGACAGCAGGGUCACCAUGGGCACAGCAGGGUCACCAUGGGCACAGCAGGGUCACCAUGGGCACGGCAGGGUCACCCUGGGCACAGCAGGGUCACCCUGGGCACGGCAGGGUCACCAUGGGCACGGCAGGGUCACCAUGGGCACGGCAGGAUCACCAUGGGGACAGCAGGGUCACCCUGGGCACGGCAGGGUCACC